rnacentral:rRNA from 1 species
UACAGAGGGGGCAAGCGUUGUUCGGAAUUACUGGGCGUAAAGGGCGCGUAGGCGGCCCGCUAAGUCGAACGUGAAAUCCCCGAGCUCAACUCGGGAACUGCGUCCGAUACUGGCGGGCUUGAAUCCGGGAGAGGGAUGCGGAAUUCCAGGUGUAGCGGUGAAAUGCGUAGAUAUCUGGAGGAACACCGGUGGCGAAGGCGACAUCCUGGACCGGUAUUGACGCUGAGGCGCGAAAGCCAGGGGAGCAAACGGG